UAUUCUUUUGGAUUCUAAUCCGAUCCAAGACAUGGGCAUUCAUCAUUGAUAGCCUUGAAUUGUGCACGAUUGUGUCGUGAUAAUUUCACAGUUGAUCGACCAAUCAUCUUUUAUCUUUUAU
rnacentral:misc_RNA from 1 species